rnacentral:rRNA from 1 species
GAUGAACGCUGGCGGCGUGCCUAAUACAUGCAAGUCGAGCGAACAGACGAGGAGCUUGCUCCUCUGACGUUAGCGGCGGACGGGUGAGUAACACGUGGAUAACCUACCUAUAAGACUGGGAUAACUUCGGGAAACCGGAGCUAAUACCGGAUAAUAUAUUGAACCGCAUGGUUCAAUAGUGAAAGACGGUUUUGCUGUCACUUAUAGAUGGAUCCGCGCCGCAUUAGCUAGUUGGUAAGGUAACGGCUUACCAAGGCGACGAUGCGUAGCCGACCUGAGAGGGUGAGCGACACCCCGUGAACGGGGACAGGUGCCCACCCCCUGCGGGAGGAAGGAGUAGGAAAUCUUCCGCAGGGGGCAAAAGCCUAACGGAGACAACCCGGGUAAGUGAGAAAGGUUUUUGCUUCGUAAACCUUUUUUUUUUGGGAAGAAAAAAGGUUUAAUUAACUUUGACAGUUUUGACGUUCCCAAAUCAGAAAGCCACGGCUAACCACUG